UACGGAGGGGCGUAGCGUUGUUCGGAAUUACUGGGCGUAAAGCGCGCGUAGGUGGUUGUGUAAGUUGGAUGUGAAAGCCCCGGGCUUAACCUGGGAACUGCAUUCAAAACUGCACGGCUAGAGUACGGGAGAGGGGGGUAGAAUUCCAGGUGUAGCGGUGAAAUGCGUAGAGAUCUGGAGGAAUACCGAUGGCGAAGGCAGCCCCCUGGCCUGAUACUGACACUGAGGUGCGAAAGCAUGGGGGAGC
rnacentral:rRNA from 1 species